GAUGAAGAACGCAGCGAAAUGCGAUACGUAAUGUGAAUUGCAGAAUUCAGUGAAUCAUCGAGUCUUUGAACGCACAUUGCGCCCCCUGGUAUUCCGGGGGGCAUGCCUGUCCGAGCGUCAUUGCUGCCCUCAAGCACGGCUUGUGUGUUGGGCCUCCGCCCCCCGGCUCCCGGGGGGCGGGCCCGAAAGGCAGCGGCGGCACCGCGUCCGGUCCUCGAGCGUAUGGGGCUUCGUCACCCGCUCCGUAGGCCCGGCCGGCGCCCGCCGGCGACCCCCAUCAAUCUUUCCAGGUUGACCUCGGAUCAGGUAGGGAUACCCGCUGAACUUAAGCAUAUCAAUAAGCGGAGGA
rnacentral:misc_RNA from 1 species